UACGGAGGGUGCUAGCGUUAAUCGGAAUAACUGGGCGUAAAGGGCACGCAGGCGGUCAUUUAAGUGAGGUGUGAAAGCCCCGGGCUUAACCUGGGAAUAGCAUUUCAAACUGGGAGUCUAGAGUACUUUAGGGAGGGGUAGAAUUCCACGUGUAGCGGUGAAAUGCGUAGAGAUGUGGAGGAAUACCGAAGGCGAAGGCAGCCCCUUGGGAAUGUACUGACGCUCAUGUGCGAAAGCGUGGGGAGCAAACAGG
rnacentral:rRNA from 1 species